rnacentral:misc_RNA from 1 species
AUAUAAUCAAGUAGGAUCCCAGUACACUAUUUCAAUUUUCAAACACUUCAAAUCACCAAGAUGCUGGAUCCAACAAAUUGGUACAAAAAAAAUUCCUCAAACGACAAAAAACCAAGACUAGUGUAGCCAGAAUUAUUAACGAACAAACAUAAAUACAUAAUAUUGCAGAAAGUCACACUUGAAUAAAGCCAGAACACACAAGAAUUCUUCAAAACCAUCAAAUGGAUACCAAAUUUUUAUGUUACCCUUGAUCUUGAACCA